GAUGACCUUGUAGAAAUUUCCAUGAUAAAUUUUCUUGAUGUUCAGGAUUCAGACUGCUACUCUAGGAAUUUGGUCUAAUGGUUUUCAAAUGCCGACUUUCAAAAUUAUGUUCAAGUUAUUAAAUUUAUAAAAGGUUAUUGUCAAUCGUUUGAGUUAAAUUUUUAUAAAUUAUUAAACAGCUAUUGUCCAUCUUGCCUGGAGAGGCGAGCUUUGACGGAAUGGUAAGAUUGUUCCAUUGUGAUCUAGAGGUCAUAGGUUUGAAAUACGGAAUAGUCUCUCCACAUGUGGGGGUAGGGCUACAUAUAUCUUACCCUCCCCAGACCAUGCGAUGGCGGGAGCCUCAUGCACCGAGCUGCUCUUUUUUUUAUUGCCUAUCUUGCAAAGAAGGUGAUUCUUGCUUUGGUGGUUCGUUAAUUUAAUCAAUUUUUUUUUUCCCAAUAGGUAUGUGAUCCUGCUGUCAGUGUAUUUAAGGGUUACACUUUGCAUAAAGAAACAGAGGAAUAUCUUGCUUCUCGCGGGCUUAAAAAUGCUUUGUACUCCAUUGAUGCAGAUGAUGUAAAAGAAGAUUUGUUUAGCAAUCUUGUGCCUUGUUGUUUCCAGAAGAACAUGCCUAUUUCAAAGGAAUACGGUGAUCGGAGAGCGUAUGUUUAAUGGAGCCCAUAAUGGCAUGGAAUUGUGCUCUUUCCUCUUUUUUGCACGGAUGUAGUUGGAUCUAGUUCUUUCUCGACCGAAUCCUCAGAGCAACAUCUCAAUCUAGGGGAUCCUGUUGUGGCACAACCAAUAUCUUGCAAACCUGUAAGUUAUGUUAUUCCAAUGUUUGCAUCUUGUGAAAUUGUGGUCCUUGUGCUCGAGAAAUUCUGCCAAUAUCUGUUCAGGUCAUUCUUGAGCGAUGUGUAUGAAGAUGUGCCUUUGGUUGACAUUGGUUUUGCCAAAUGGUUUCAUGUUAAUAAUGAACAUGCUUAUAUUGCAAUUUGUUACUAAUGAUAAUAGGGUGCAGUAUCUUUAUUCUAGUUUGCUUAUUUAAAUUCAAUGUUUUAGGUUGAUGAACAUAUUAGUUCUAUCUACUCGACAGUAUGUACAAAUAUUGUA